UACGUAGGCAGCAAGCGUUGUUCGGAGUUACUGGGCGUAAAGGGUGUGUAGGCGGUUGGUUAAGUUUGGUGGGAAAUCUCCCGGCUCAACCGGGAGGGUGCGCCGAAUACUGAAUAACUAGAGUGCGGGAGAGGAAAGUGGAAUUCCGCGUGUAGCAGUGAAAUUCGUAGAUAUUCGGAAGAACACCAGUGGCGAAGGCGGCUCACUGGACUGGUAUUGACGCUGAGGUGCGAAAGCGUGGGGAGCAAACAGG
rnacentral:rRNA from 1 species